rnacentral:misc_RNA from 1 species
AUAGACCCUACAACAAUAAGGCCGUUGCCAUAGCAGGUCAGUACCGCAAGAAGAAUUACCUAAACGGUUAGUGUUCUUAUUAGGGUAAAUGGGGUGAGGAAUUUUCGAUUUCGACGAAAAAUCCAGCGGAAUUGUUGCUAGUAUCAGAGAAUUAGUUCGGCAUUCGAAACAACAAAGGAGCCACUGAAGCGAAGUCAUAUUCUAACGGGACGUACGACCAACGCAUGCUCGGUCCUCAGUAUCCUAGUGAUGAUUUUGUAUCGGCGUCGAGCGUGAAUUUUAUUCCAAGUGUUGUGUCGACUUUUCUAAGUGAAUCGGUUUGAUUUGGCUGUCGUUAAUUCAUCCGCUCAACGAUGAUUCUACCCGUGAAGUUAUCCUGACUGUGACAAAGUGAUAUCAAAAGAUGGACCUUUACAUAGAUCAUGUAGGACCAGUGUGUAAAUAGUCUCCCGUAAUCAAAUCUAACUAGCUGCAUGUAGGUUACGUUGGCUCACUCAAAUUUAUUCCUUAUUUUGAAAAUAUGUAUGCGAAAGGAAAAGGAUCAUCCGUGCCGUCCGACGCACAAGCCAGGGAAAAGUUGGCUUUAUACGUUUACGAAUAUUUGCUACACGUCGGGGCACAAAAAGCGGCCCAAACGUUUCUUUCAGAGAUAAGAUGGGAGAAAAACAUAACAUUAGGAGAACCUCCAGGAUUUCUGCAUUCUUGGUGGUGUGUUUUCUGGGACUUGUACUGUGCGGCCCCCGAAAGAAGGGACACUUGCGAGCAUUCUUCAGAAGCAAAAGCUUUCCAUGAUUACGGUUUUGUAAAUUCUGGUUAUGGAGUUAAUGGAAUCGCACAUAACACAGGUCCGGCUCCAAGUCCACUGGGACAAAUGCCCCCCACUGACGGAAUGCCAGGAGGGCCCAUACCACCUGGCUUCUUCCCAAAUUCAACGUUGCGACCGUCUCCACCUACACACCCAUCGAGUCAACCAUCUCCACACUCACAACCACCACCUCCGCACUCCAACAUCAUGACGUCACAACCCUUUAUGAACCCAAGGUACCCUGGACCACGACCCGGGGUACGAAUGCCGCAAUUAGGAAGCGAUUUCAAUGGACCUCCAGGACAACCUCUGAUGCCUAACAACAUGGACCCAACAAGACAAGGUGAUGGCGGAGAAUUUGUAGGUUGGCAAGGUCCACCGGCAGCUAUAAACCGAAUGAAUCCACCUCGAGGGCCCUCUAUGGGACCUUUAGGACCAGGAACCUACGGACCAGGCAUCAGGGGUCCCCCUCCCAACAGUAGUCUGGGUCCUGGGGGUCCCAUGCCGCCGAUGACAAUGGGAGGACCCGGAGGACGACCGCAAUGGCAACCAAACACGUCAACACCUAUGAACUACUCUUCGUCAUCACCUGGAAACUACGGAGGCCCACCUGGAUCGGCAGGUCCGGCAGGUCCUGGCACGCCGAUCAUGCCGAGCCCUCAAGAUUCCAGCAACUCCGGUGGCGAGAACAUGUACACGCUGAUGAAACCCGCGGUGGGAGGCAACAUGCCCGGAGAUUUCCAGAUGGGAGGAGGGCCCGACACUGGAGGUCCCAUGGGACCGAUGGGGCCGAAUUCCAUGGGACCAGUGAUGAACGGCGACGGCAUGGACGGAAUGAAGAACUCCCCGGCCAAUGGGGGACCUGGCACGCCCAGGGAGGAUAGCGGCAGCGGAAUGGGGGACUACAACCUUGGGGGCUUUGGGGGGCCGGGAGAAAACGACCAAACGGAAUCGGCUGCUAUUUUGAAAAUAAAAGAGAGCAUGCAAGAGGAGGCCAAGAGGUUUGAGAAAGACUCGGAUCACCCUGAGUAUUUCAUGCAAUAACUUGCCUCGGCUGGCCCUUAAUAGGCUGGUGGACGUUGCCUCUUCCUUGACCUAACCUACUAACAUGGGGCGGUGAUAUUCCUGUGAUUCUCAACUGACAGAGCCUUGUUUGUCAGCCGGCCGGCCACAGGACACACGCACGUCUCAAGUUCCUUCUUCGUCCCGAUUUUCUCGCAUUUGUCCACCAGCCUAGGCAGGGUUGGACGACCGCCCAGAACCUGUCAUGGCGCCCCAGCUGUCACGUGUCUAUUGUACUCCCACUACACUCAUUAUAGGCUGUAUACAGGGUGCUACAAAUUCGAGGUACGAGCAUUGGUAUCUCGGUAACCGUCAUAGAUAUGAACACGGUUGAAUUGGGGCAAAGUUCCGCCUUGGGAUGUUCACCAAGUUGCCAUUAAAAAAGUUUUAAAAACUUCAAGGUUUGCUGAGUUUUUUGGUUUUUGAAAAUGAAUUUUAUUUUUUCCUGUCGUUACUCUU